UAAUAUUCCCCCAUGUUAUCAAUGAGGUCUGAUCAACUAAUGGCAGCUGCAAAAUAAUUGUGGCAGACAAAAUCUUUGUCUUUUGAAGUGUCCCUCCUUUCUGCUUUGCUCAUUUUCUGCUUGCAGUAAUUUCCUCCACCAUUCAAGCACCAAAGAAGUUGUAAUUGACAAAUGGGAAAACUAAUCUGGUUAUUAGCUGAAGCAUGGGCUUUUCAGCAGCUUCCCAGGGUGAGCUGUACAAAGAGCUUUCUUACUAGGAAAAUACUGACCUGGGCGUUGUCAAAUCUCUUGCAGAGACAGGUCAGAGGAAAAUGCUGCUUCCAGUACACUGUUCUCCAGCUGAGCUGAGAGUGACUUCCCAAGAUAAGACCCUGCUGUUACUCAGCUUCUAAAUAAGUUAUCAGACCGAAAAGCUGGUGUCACGGUGCUCCAACAUUGUAGCAAUGGAGGAAGAUUUGGUGCUGGCAACUAUUCUUACAACAUACAGAACAGAGCAUGAAGGUGAGGAAACAUGUUGUAUUUGAUCAAACCUUUAAUAUGUGAUAUUCUUGGGCAUUUUUGCAGGACAAUGCUCUAAUACACAUCUACUCCUCAAAUACUUUACAUUACAGUCUGUGACUGAACUUUGGAGGGCUUUCAGAGAGGAGCGGUGUACAUCAGCUGACAUGAGCUCAUGUGGUUAAAAAGAAGCAUGGCAAAGUGACAUCAAACACGUCUGAUUCCAGCCUGACAUAACUAAUAGACAAAAACCUCUCUGUUAUUCUAUUCCAUAGUGAACAACUUGAUCUGAAUGCAAGGAUUCUGUAUUUCCACUGGUGAAACUGAAGAACAGUUUCAUCCUUUGCCCUGUCUGUCUUUUUAAACCUGCUAAUUUGUAUUUAUGACUAUAAAUACAGAGAUCAUACCGCAGGUCAAGCAUUUUCUAGAAUUCUCUGGUGUAGAGACUCACUCAGUAAAACACAUCCUGUAGUUUUAGCUGGCAAAUAUAACAGAAACAAGAAUGAAAGUAAUAAGAUCUUAGGCACUUAGGGGGAAAAAAAAAGAAAAAAAAAAAAGAUUGUUAUCUACAUUUUUCAUUUGCUGUUAGUGAGAAAAGUAGCCAGCAAUAUGUAGGUCAGCAUCAGUAGCUGCUUUGGUAGUCUGAGAACAGUUUAAAGGAAGGAAGAGGUUUCUCUUUGUGGUUGAAUAAGUUACUCUAUAUCCAUGAAGUAGCUGUGUCUCACCCCCAAAGGGAGAAGCAUUAUCAGCAAAUGAAUGAACAGGCAUUCUGUGUUAUGCCAGUAGCACUGUCUUUGAAAACAAGGGAGACAAGAAAAACAGAUUUGGUGUGGCUUUUAUUUUCCUGUCGACCAUUGUAAUGGAGCUCCUCCAUUAACUCAUUCUUGUCAGGUUGAAUUGAAAGUGACAGUUAAUAACUUACACCAGCAUCUGCUUUCACUUGAUUGCAAUAGAGCUCUGCAGUGUCCUCACAGUGUUUGGAGAGACAUGGUUUGUGGGCAGAGGUACUAUCUUGUAUUAGAGUAUUAGGCACAGAUGGAUCAAAAUAAAAAGAUAUGCUCUUG
rnacentral:lncRNA from 1 species